CCUACGGGUGGCAGCAGUGAGGAAUAUUGGUCAAUGGCCGGAAGGCUGAACCAGCCAAGCCGCGUGAAGGACGAAGGUGCCAAGCAUUGUAAACUUCUUUUGUCAAGGGACAAAAUCAGGCUCGAGAGCCUGACCGAGGGUACUCGAAGAAAAAGUAACGGCUAACUCCGUGCCAGCAGCCGUGGUUAUACCGAGGAGUCGAGUGUUAUCCGGAUUUAUUGGGUUUAAAGGGUGCGUAGGCGGGCUGUUAAGUCAGCGGUAAAAGGCCGGGGCUCAACCCCGGCGAGCCGUUGAAACUGGGUGUCUUGAGAGGGCGAGAGGUAUGCGGAAUGCGCGGUGUAGCGGUGAAAUGCUUAGAUAUUGCGCAGAACUCCGAUUGCGAAGGCAGCAUACCGGCGGCGAUCUGACGCUGAGGCACGAAAGCGUGGGUAUCGAACAGGAUUAGAUACCCCUGUAGUC
rnacentral:rRNA from 1 species